CACGCAGCCGCCCAGGGAAGCCCCGUGGUAAGCCAACGGCCAAGUCAAUGCCAGGAGCAGAGCUGCAGCUCUCUGGCACUCAUUUUGCAUCCAUUUGCAUUUUCUCCCCCAAAUCCUUCCAGCUCCAUCCCCCACUCCUGAUGCCAGGAACCCUCCAGACCACUGCACCUUGCCCUGAAAUAUCUUUAGAGACCCUGGGUAUGCAGGAAAAGGGGAUGGAUUGAUUUUUUAAAAUUUCAUGUAGAACAUGGCAAAGAACUGGGGAAAAGUACAGGAGUGGGAGAUGCAGUGACGGAGACAGGAUGGGUGGGAACUUCAGAGGUUUUGAAAUACCUAGAGCCCUUCUGAGCAGCUCUGCUAUUAACACCCGAUGUCACUGCACCGGGGCAAAGCUAGGACUGUAGGAGAAACCAGAGAAAACCAUGGAUGCUCCAGCCAAGUCACAGCAGAAUAAACUACUCUGGCUUAGUUGCUUUUUAAGCGCUCCUGAGCAAACAGCAGAGCCAAAUAAAAGGCCCCUGUUGCCAUUGGCAUCAUUAGUAAACAGCGGACUCUGAAGCCAGCAGCCAAAGGUUGCCUCACGUCUGUUUGUGCUGCAGGUUACGUGCACAUCUGAGCACUCAGAGGUGCCAAUAAAUGCCAAAUCCCAUUUAUAGAGUCAUUAAACCCAGGACCUCCUGGAGGACUUCACACCAGAGAGCCAUGUCACAGAGGGAGCCCUGAAGGGACCAGAAUUCACCUAGACUGAUGCUGCAAACCCACAGGGAAAGAGGUCACAGCACCGACACGCUGAUGCAGAAUUUCCCUCGUGCACAGACAGGAAGCAGCAGCGGCACACUCGCACCGGCUCCCUCCCCCUCACAGCUCACCAGGACUUGGCAGAAGGGAAAAGGCUUCGGAGGACAAUUGCUCCCGCUGAAAGCCUCAUCAUCCGCAUCCAGCAUCUGUACAGCAGCAGGUUUCCCUCGAGCAUCGCAGCACCAAAACACCGCCCGCCUCCCACUAACCACAGCAAUAACCAGAGCUGGGAAUAACAACACACAAGCCAAAACAAAACCAGAGCCAGAAGCCGGCGCUGGAGGCUGAUGGGACACUGGUUGUAGGGCUGCUGCUCAGCAGCCAGCUGGGCUUCAGAUGCCCCACACUUUCCUGAUGUGCAAAGCCAGAAAUACAUUUUAACGUGAACAUCCAGCGUAAGAAAUAGCUAGAAGCCAGACCAGGGCUUUGCCUGGCCAAGGAUAUGGGUUUGUAUUCAGCCAGCUGCUCCCCAGGAGGUUCAGGCUUUGCUGAAAUCUGGGGAAGAAACCAAGCCAGUUAAGGAACAGCUGAACAUUCCCAGAAAACAAGACUGACAUUUCAUUAAAGAGACUUAUAAGUCCUUGGUGUUUUGAGACUACCAUCGUCAAACGUUUUCAGGAUGCAGAAAAUAAAACUGUUACAAUACUGUGAAA